rnacentral:rRNA from 1 species
CCUACGGGAGGCUGCAGUAGGGAAUAUUGCUCAAUGGGGGAAACCCUGAAGCAGCAACGCCGCGUGAAGGAUGAAGGUUUUCGGAUUGUAAACUCCUUUUUUUAGAGAAGAUAAUGACGGUAUCUAACGAAUAAGCACCGGCUAACUCCGUGCCGGCAGCCGCGGUAAUACGGAGGGUGCAAGCGUUACUCGGAAUAACUGGGCUUAAAGAGGGCGUAGGCGGGAUAGCAAGUCAGAUGUGAAAUCCUAUGGUUUAACCAUAGAACUGCAUUUGAAACUGUUAGUCUAGAGUAUGGGAGAGGUAGGUGGAAUUCUUGGUGUAGGGGUAAAAUCCGUAGAGAUCAAGAGGAAUACUCAUUGCGAAGGCGACCUGCUAGAAUAUAACUGACGCUGAUGCGCGAAAGCGUGGGGAGCAAACAGGAUUAGAUACCCGUGUAGUC